rnacentral:rRNA from 1 species
GAUGAACGCUGGCGGCGUGCCUAAUACAUGCAAGUCGAGCGAACAGAUGAGGAGCUUGCUCCUCUGACGUUAGCGGCGGACGGGUGAGUAACACGUGGAUAACCUACCUAUAAGACUGGGAUAACUUCGGGAAACCGGAGCUAAUACCGGAUAAUAUAUUGAACCGCAUGGUUCAAUAGUGAAAGACGGUUUUGCUGUCACUUAUAGAUGGAUCCGCGCCGCAUUAGCUAGUUGGUAAGGUAACGGCUUACCAAGGCAACAAUGCGUAGCCGACCUGAGAGGGUGAUCGGCCACCCUGGAACUGAGACACGGUCCAGACUCCUACGGGAGGCAGCAGUAGGGAAUCUUCCGCAAUGGGCGAAAGCCUGACGGAGCAACGCCGCGUGAGUGAUGAAGGUCUUCGGAUCGUAAAACUCUGUUAUUAGGGAAGAACAAAUGUGUAAGUAACUAUGCACGUCUUGACGGUACCUAAUCAGAAAGCCACGGCUAACUACGUG